AGGGAAGAAUGCUAACGUGGAGAGGAUGGGAUCUGAAUCGUGGAUGCAGAAGGAUGAACUCGAUUUGGAUGAAGGGGAGGAAGGCAUGCAUGAGAUGAGCUUUGGAACGGCUGGCAGCUGGGACUGGGAACGUAUCACGAAUGAACUGUAAGAUCUUGGAGGAUACUGAGCCGUUGGGAGGAGAUCAAUUCGGCUCUAUUUCGUUGGAACACGGGAGAAGGGGAGGAUGUUCGGUUCGGUUGGCAGUUGAGAUGAAGCUGCGAUGGGAAGACUUGGGAAUCCAGCUGGGAUCAGUCCGGAAGAAGAGGGAAUGAAUUCAUGAGCUGAGAUGCAGGGGAUACCGUGAGUUGGUUUGAACUUUGUUUUAUUAAGCUGGGAGGUUUU
rnacentral:lncRNA from 1 species